GUAGGGGGCAAGCGUUAUCCGGAUUUACUGGGUGUAAAGGGAGCGUAGACGGCUUUGCAAGUCUGACGUGAAACUCCGGGGCCCAACUCCGGAACUGCGUUGGAAACUGUGAGGCUUGAGUGCCGGAGAGGUAAGCGGAAUUCCUAGUGUAGCGGUGAAAUGCGUAGAUAUUAGGAGGAACACCAGUGGCGAAGGCGGCUUACUGGACGGCAACUGACGUUGAGGCUCGAAAGCGUGGGGAGCAAACAGGAUUAGAUACCCUGGUAGUCCACGCGGUAAACGAUGAAUACUAGGUGUUGGGGGACAAAGUCCUUCGGUGCCGCCGCAAACGCAUUAAGUAUUCCACCUGGGGAGU
rnacentral:rRNA from 1 species